rnacentral:lncRNA from 1 species
CAAGAGAGACCAACAAAGAAAAAUUCGCUCAUCUGCUUGUGGAUUCUGAUCAUGGUUUUGUUCAGCACUAAAUUAUCCAAUAACUGUGGAAACACACACACACACACACACAAGAAGACUUGAGUCGUGUUUAGCUUGGUUGAAGUUCGUACAUUCAAUAGUAAGUAACACGGGAUCGCAACCAUCUCAGAAAAAAUAAAUACCAUGGACGGACAUUCCUACCACUAGAAACCAACCUUUUGCUGGCUUUUCUUCUGGCAAAAAAAACUC